rnacentral:lncRNA from 1 species
AAUUUUUUUAGCAAAAAAAUAAAGAUUAAAUUUGGCACGGGAUAAAUAAGGAAGAAAAAAACCUAAAUUAUAUAAGUACACUAGUUAGCCUAACAACCACCAUAGUCAAAGGUAUAAAAUUUAUAUAGCGUCCAGUUUUUUUUUUCUUCAUCGUUGAAUUCUUGUCCACCUUUUUAAAAAGUUGAAUUGAUACUCAAGUUUUUAGAUAACUUCGUAUGCAUACACUUUUUUUUUCUUCUUUACCGUUGUUUUCUUCUUUUUUGUGCAGAGUUACUCUUUCUUUUUCUUAGUUACAAAAUGAG